CGUCGAGCGUGUAAACCUGCAACGAAAGAACAUAAGCCGAAUAUGCAGAGAAUUAAUAUUUGCCGUAAAGGCAGCAUCCCGGAUUCGAGACAGCCCAUUCAUUUUGGUCGCGUGGCAAAACGCUCUGCUGACCACGCAACAUAACCGUGACCAGACAUAAAAUGGCGAGCAUCGCUCUACAAUGCUAGAUCCGCGUGGGAGUUGACUGUGUGACGGUGGCAGCAAGGCCGCCUAGUCGGACUCGGCAGUGUCCUGCAAGUGUUCUCGGACUGUUGCGGUGCAUUCCUCGGGUAGAGCCCUUCAGCAGAAGCUUCUUGAAGAUGAGCGCUAGCCGUUCCUCGAGCCGCUGGCGUCGCGUACUGAUGCCGCUAUUGCUGCUGCUCGCGCUGCUCACUGCGGUCCCCACGUGCAAGGCCACGAAGUUGCACAAAGUUGCUGCGCUGGCUGGCGCCUACGGAAUCGGCGCCGGCGGACACUUCUUGGGUGGCCUAGGCCUGCUGCAUGGCUUUCAUGGUCUCUACAACCACAAUUAUGGGCAUCACCAUGAUCACCACUACGAGCACCACGUACCAUACGCCGUUCCGGUGCCGGUUCCAGUACAAGUACACGUUCACCAUCUGCAUACGGACCAUCACCAUUAUUUCGGCUACCACGGCUUCGGAUACCACAGCGGCUACGGGGGAUACGAUGGCUCGUGGUGAAGCCCCGAACUGUGAUGACCUCUGCGGAGAACACCGACUCACUGAGCACUUGACUAAAAACCGCAUCAGGGAUUCCGAAGUGUACAUGUGACUCAAGUGUCUGUGAACGCUAUUUCUAACGAGAACAAGCAGCUUUCAGAUUGUAAGAAUUGCUAUGACAAUUUCAUCGAUUUCAUCGGCAGUGUAUACAAACAUACGUAUGCAUGUGUGAAGUCAGCAUAGAACAAGCUGGAUGCCUAGCAGAGUUAAUGUGUUGCGAUAGGCUGCCGAAGAAAUCGAAGCGAUGCUUGUGAUAAGUUUCCAAUGAAUGCAAUCCUAGCAUGCGAUCAGUUUGACUGCGCUAAUACUGGGUCCUAGUUUCUAUUUUUAUCACGUCAUGCGCGUGCAGUUGUGCAAAGUAAAUAAAAUGUUUUUUAACACCAGUCUGGAUAUCAUAUUUUAAUAAAUACGUCAUUAUAAUAUCAUACCGACUCGUAAUAAGGCUACUGACACAUUGUGGACAUAACCCUCG